GAAAUUUUGCAGCUUAACUGUAAAAGCGCCGUUGAUACUGUGAAGCUAGGAUUUGGUUGCUGUGGGCGGAAUGUGUGGUGUAGCGGUGAAAUGCAUAGAGAUCACACAGAAUAUCGAUUGCGAAGGCAGCUCACAAAGCCAAUAUUGACGCUGAGGCACGAAAGUGUGGGGAUCAAACAGGAUUAGAUACCCUGGUAGUCCACACUGUAAACGAUGAUAACUCGCUGUCGGCGAUAGACCGUCGGUGGCCAAGCGAAAGCGAUAAGUUAUCCACCUGGGGAGUACGACCGCAAGGUUGAAACUCAAAGGAAUUGACGGGGGCCCGCACAAGCGGAGGAACAUGUGGUUUAAUUCGAUGAUACGCGAGGAACCUUACCCGGGCUCGAACGGUGCAUGAAAGUUCAAGAGAUUGGACAGUCCUUCGGGACAUGUAUCGAGGUGCUGCAUGGUUGUCGUCAGCUCGUGCCGUGAGGUGUCGGCUUAAGUGCCAUAACGAGCGCAACCCUUGUCAUUAGUUACCAUCAGGUUAAGCUGGGGACUCUAGUGAGACUGCCACCGUAAGGUGUGAGGAAGGGGGGGAUGACGUCAAAUCAGCACGGCCCUUAUGUCCGGGGCGACACACGUGUUACAAUGGGAGGUACAGAGGGCAGCCAGUUAGUGAUAACGCGCCAAUCUCAAAAACCUCUCUCAGUUCGGAUUGGAGUCUGCAACUCGACUCCAUGAAGUUGGAUUCGCUAGUAAUCGCGCAUCAGCCAUGGCGCGGUGAAUACGUUCCCGGGCCUUGUACACACCGCCCGUCAAGCCAUGGAAGCCGGGGGUGCCUGAAGUUCGUGACCGCAAGGAGCGACCUAGGGCAAAACUGGUAACUGGGGCUAAGUCGUAACAAGGUA
rnacentral:rRNA from 1 species